CAAAACAGACCAGGUUGCCUGGGCUUUGUGCAAUCAUGCCGGGAAGACCUCUGAGGGCAGAGAUCCCCCGGGCUCACCAGGUCUGGAAGGGAUUCCAGAGAUUGAGCACACUUAUGGGAAAUGUCUCUAUGCAUCAAGCCCUGCUGCUCCCCCAGGCCCCUGCAGAAAAGCACGAACCCCCGGCAGGAUGUGACUUGCAGCACCUGCCUGCACCCCAAACCUUCCCCAGCCCCUAUAACCUCACUGGCAAGCCCCAGCACUAGUGUGGCAUAUCCCUGUGCCACAUCAGGGGACACACUGGCGUGCUGGUGCUUUCGUGGCCAUGGCACACAAGGUUGGGGAAGGCAUCCUCCCGCCUCCCUCCUCCCCGAGGUGGUGUGAGGUUUGCAUGGCUCUCGCUCCUCUGCAGCAUGUGCAUUUCAGCGCCUCAUGAAAAUCUUCCGGAUGGGUAUCUUUGAAUAGCCAUCGGGGCUGUUGGCAUGGAAAUAAGAGCUUUCUAUUUUGCCUUUCAAAUGCCCUAUUUGGGCCAGUCAUUCAACAGUUUCAAGAGGUUUAAUCCCCUAUAAUAGCGUCCUGGAUCUUUGGCAUUUGCUCUAGCUGUAGCAGAUCCAAGCACAUGGGGCACAGUGGUGGCUCUCACAGGAUGAACAUCUGCUGUCCAACCUCUCCUGCUUUCAGGGGUGCCCUGCUGGGACCCGUCCGCUCUGUGGGCUCACAGCUGGCACUGCCACCUCUGCAGGGCUGGCUGGACCCUGGGCCUGUGCCAUCUGAAGCCUGAUAUUACUGACAGGAGUGCUGCUUCAUCCCUCUUAGCAGCCAGCAGUGAAACCUGAUGCCUGAUAAUGAUGGGAUGCAGCAAUUUGGACAGGGUAGUUUAUUGCUUUUAUUAUUUUAUUUAAGACUAAUUAUUUAACUACUUUGCCUAAAUGUCAGCAAAGACUCUUUGCAAAUAUCUUGCUUUAUUUCAGUAAACCAUUUGGAAAGAAAUGUUUCCUUUCUUUUUCCUUUAUUGCAGACAGAACCACACAGCCCUGGACAGCACUGCCCUUUUUCUAACCAGCAUUUCAGUGUGGAGUGGAAAGGGAACAGGCCAAGGAAAAUCACAGAUAAAACAGUAUUACUGAAUAUUAUUAAUCGCAGAAAGUUAAUAAUGGGAAAAUGGUGGGAAACUUUAAUCUCCUCUGUGAUUUACAAUUUUUACAAACCUUACUUUGGUUCCAAAUCACUUUCAUUUCCUAGCUUGGUCUAAGUAGAAGGUAGCCCACUCGUUGGAUGAAUCAGAGCUGUGCAGCAACAGAAGCAUUCAUUUGUUGCAGAAUUUAGGUAGUGAAAGAGGAACAGUAGGAAGAGCAAAGGCUGUAAGAGCAGAUGAGUGCUAUCCUACACAGUUGCUUUCCCCUGUUCUUCCAUCACAGACUUGUAUUGCCUGGUGGACUGCCUACCUAACUGCAGAGUCUUAUAGUCAUCAGUCUUGUAGGUGGGCUGAGAGUUUGUCUCAAGGAAGGAAAUUGCUUAGUGAUGCCCCAAUCAGAUACAAGAUGCUUCAAUUUGGAAAUACCGCAAGAAUGAAAAAAUUGACCUGAAUCUCUGCUCACGAUCUUCUGGCUUUGAAAUGGGGGCAAUUGGACAUCAUCCAUGUGGACCUGCAGCAUGAGCAGCAGUCUUGUAUCUGCCCGCUUCCCCACCCGUUGACACCUCUCUGAGGCACCAUGUCCCCUCUUCCAAAGACAUAAACACAUCUCCAUGUUUAAAGCUUGGUGCUGUGGUGUAAAGUGCUGGCCCUUCUUCCACAAACCCCUGCUCUGCAAAAGGCAGCACUCCAGUCUCUUUGAACACAUCUGCUGCUUCUGCCAGGAGGAUCACACUGAGACUUGACAGAGGCAAAACCAAACCAAACCAAACCAAACAA